GGGGCCAGACGUGCUGCGGUCCGAUUCCUGCAACGAAGGUUGGGCUUGCGGUGGUGCUAGCGCGCAGUCCUCGUGUUUAGACAAAGAAUUACAAGAAGUUCUCCUGUGAUACAAAUAAAAUCGAAGAGAAAAUUACGCAAAACCACCACCUUUGAGGCACAUCUCUAGAAAAGCCACCUUUUUUUAUUUUUUUCAAAUCACCACCACUUUUGUGGUCCGCUGUACUCCCACGCACUGAUUUCGUUGUUGAUCGUGUUUUGACGGUAUUAACAGUGGGCCCCACCUGUCGGUGCCACCGUGGCGCCAUGCUGUACAAACCGUCCGAGCUGUCCUAACCAGAAUGCACCAAAGAUGCUCGUUGGACCUGGGUUCUGUCUCGAAGAAGACGAAGGCAUCCGCCCUCGCUGCGGUUCUCGCCGCCUCACAACCAGAUCCCAAGCCUAUGCCGGUGUAGGCUGCCACCGUCGGCCACCCAUAGCCCCAUGCGAACCAUGGCAUCCGGCACCUGGUCAUAGAAGAACUCGAGCUGGCCGACGAAGGUGAACACCUCGCCGGCGCUGAUG
rnacentral:lncRNA from 1 species